GCGUGUGAGGGCGAUCUGGCCACGACGCCGUCACCCCACUGGUCCCCCACAGGGGGACUCAGCUCAUCUGCUGGUGAGGCGGUAUCCCCUUCUUCCCUAACACUCCAUGUGCGUCCCUCCUGAAGCUGCGUGCCUGGUGGAAGAAGGUGAGCACCUGGACAGAGGGGACCACUCCUAGGAGUAGCUGCAGCCCCUGGUAGGACCUCCAGACAAGUGCUCAGAAAACUGGGGCCAAGGUUCCAUUUGACCCAGGUAGUCUCCUUCUUGGGAUAUUCCUGAAAGAAUUAAAAA
rnacentral:snRNA from 1 species